rnacentral:lncRNA from 1 species
CCGUUAAACCCAUUCCAUGUCCAUCUCCACACCCAUUCUACCCUCCACCUAACCCGUUUGAUUCAUACCUAUUAAACCAUUCAUACCCACUUCUCUCUAAACCUUCCCAUGCCUUGCCAUUACUCACUUCCAAUAAUCUAAACCUUCUUUCAUACCCAGCUGAAUUUGUUAGCCACAUCCUCACAAUCACCAUGCCCACGUUGCAUUCCUUUUUCGUUAGUCUUGAACACACCGCACCACCCAUUUCUCUCAUCAUUCCACUCCUUCCAAUUUCUCAAGUCCCAUGUGCACGUAGUCAUCAUGCAUGCUCCUAUGCCCGUCAAAUCCAUCACCUCGUACCCACCGAACUCCUAAGACCCAUUUCACACACCACCCAUGGCUAUGCUUUGCACCAAUCUCACGCGCAUGGCCGACUUCAUGCUCAUUCCUCCCAUUCAGCAUUUCCAGGUGCACCACUACAAGAUUUCGGCAUUUGCUAGAGGAAAUGAUGCAUGUAAUCUGUGCACUAGUUGACAUGAUUGACUCAAAGUUUAGGAUAUUGGGAUGUGAUGCUCAUUGCCAAUCCCUUAAAGGUUACUGCUGUUAGUUUCAUUUACUGAAGAUGAAAUCGGGCUAUUGCUAAGCCCGCAUGCAAGCUUACUCUUCAUCUCGAUGUCUUCAACAUUUGAAUGGCUUUACACUGAAGGACAGAAUUCAGGAGCUAAAAACAAGAGAAACUGUGGAUUGAUUUGAUAAUGGCAGAGAAGGGCAGAGAGUGUGUGACAGGGUUGCUAGAUGGGCGGAUUAAAGUUUGGAUGCAUGUGGCAGAUCUAACUAGCAUCGUUCAACCUGGAAGCAUAGUAGACAGAGG